rnacentral:rRNA from 1 species
CCCUUAGAUGUCCUGGGCCACACGCGUGCUACACUGACGCCUACAGCGAGUACUUCCCAGCCCCGAGAGGUGGCUGGUAAUCAGCAAUAGGCGUCGUGAUGGGGAUAGAUCUUUGGAAUUAUGGAUCUUGAACGAGGAAUGCCUAGUAAGCGCAGGUCAUUAGCCUGCGUUGAUUAAGUCCCUGCCCUUUGUACACACCGCCCGUCGCUCCUACCGAUUUCGAGUGGUCCGGUGAAUCUUUCGGACUGCGCGCGGCUUCGUGCCGUGUCGCGGAAAGUCAGGUAAACCUUAUCACUUAGAGGAAGGAGAAGUCGUAACA